rnacentral:rRNA from 1 species
UACAGAGGUCUCAAGCGUUGUUCGGAUUCAUUGGGCGUAAAGGGCGCGUAGGCGGUUGGAUAAGUCUUGUGUGAAAUCUUCGGGCUCAACGUCGAAGUCUGCACGAGAAACUAUCUGGCUUGAGUGUGGGAGAGGUGAGUGGAAUUCCUGGUGUAGCGGUGAAAAUGCGUAGAUAUCUGGAGGAACACCGGUGGCGAAGGCGGCAUCCUGGGACCAACACUGACGCUGAGUGAGC